AAAGUGCUUCAGGCGCCACACAUGAAUGCCAUCCUCUUUGAGUGUAGUGCUGUCGACACCUGGAAAGCGGAGAUGGGAGGUGGGUGAGUUAGGGCAGGUGUGUUAAAACUUCUGUGUACCUGCUGCAAAUGACUUGAUUAUUGAGACAGCCAUGGCAGACAGCCUAGCUGGCAGUGAGGCAGUGAGGCAGCGAGGCAGCGAGGCGAUAAAUGCAUUGAAAGCUUCACAGCUACUUGGCUCUGAUGCUCACUCACACACCCACAGACACGUUCACGCACACACACACUUAACUCGUACUCACCUAGCAGGACGAGCAGCGGUAUGGUUGUCAUGCCGCCACGUUGCCAUUCUUCCAAGGACACUGUGCCAUCGGCAUCAUAGUCAAUUUCAACCAUCAUAUCUUGCAGUAUCUGUAAGAGUAACAAAAAGAGGAGAAGAGAAUCGUGUAAAAAUGGGCUGGAGGUGGAAUUUUCGUUGCUGUAUGACAUCCUGAUUGACAUUCUGCGGUGGAGUAAGGCAGAUAAAGGCAAUUUUACUUUGCGACUUUCGGCUUUUACCUUUGACUGCAACGGAGUUGGGGAUCGCGUAAUUCGAGCAAAAUGUAUACAGGAAAUAUAAUAAAUACUUGACGAAAUAUAAUAAAUACUGGCGACGUUUCUGCAAUAUAGUCGACUUGAAAAGCAAAGCAUGACAAGAAUAAUUUUGCUCUUCCUUACCACUUGAGCGCCCAAUAAGAGGAUUAUCAACUAACUGCUUUUUGCAUAAGGAUACUCAACAGAGCCAUAAAGGACAAAGGCAUCUCGCCUGAUAGUAAGAGGAUGAGCCAAUUGAAUUGACUUUGCUUAUAACUACGUAAAGACCAUCUAAACUUAGCAAUUGGCCAAUAAAACAACGUUGACUAACAUAACAGCAAGCUUCUGUCUGCUAAAGAAUACAUAUCACUUGGCGUAGCAGGCAGCUUUUUAGUGCUAACGCGAAUGGCGUUUUGUUUAUGUAAAAUGUAA